UUUUAUUCCUUGUUCGGUUUUAAGUUUGCAAUGUGUGUUGCAGCAAGUGUCUACUGUUGAGCUCUUCUUCGUGUCUCGUCCUGGCCUUGGAGGAAAAUACAGGGAGGAAUGCUGCAGGGGGACGAGAGGAGGAGGGGAGCAACUGCGACUCAGAGGGAGGGGUCCUCUCUUCAGGAAUUCUGCUGGGUUGGAGUAGCCUAUCUUUGCUGCAUGAUCAGUGUCCACCAUUGAUGUCAACACUGUCAGAUCCUGAGUUUCAGCAACAUCCCCCCCCCCUCACCAGUUCCAACUGUACUCACAGCUGGAACUAAACCCCAAUGGAAAAGAUACGGAGGGCAACACUUAGAGACCGUCAUAAAUGGAUAUUUCUGUAUAAGAAGACCAAGAGAUAGGAGUAUAUUUGUUAAAUAAACUGCACAGUCUGGGGUGGGUAAAGAUCUGGGCGAUAUCUCUGCCUAACCUAUUUUGGAGCAAUGCUCCACAACACUCCAAAUCCUAUAUUUUUUUCCCAAAGUCAAAAGAAAUUGACACCACUUAUCUGCUGGUGGAGGAAACAUGAGUGCCACUUUUUUUUCUUCAUCUCCCUUCAGUGUGUGAGAGGACCUUAACUGAAGUGACAUGGGGACGGUGACCCGAUCGCCCUUGUGUCGAGUGCCUUUCCAAAACAAAUCAGCUGUUCAGAUUUAGUGCCAACCUCCAUUUAUCACCAAAAGAACCCUUCGCCGUGGCAGUCCACAAUUUAGUAAACUGUUCUUCUGGAUAAUCGUGUACGGGUGGUGGCUGAAAAGAAACUACAAUAGGCUUUUUGUUAAUGGAAUGGCGGUUUUCUGUAUGUUUUACGUUGGCCUUUUUGAAGUCUACGGUGUUAAUUUUGUAAUGUCUGCUUUGUCUGGCCAAACCUAUUUUCUUGAAAUGCACAGGUACUGGAAUCUCCCUUGACGUGAUAACAACACCAAACGCUUACCUUUCCAGACCACUUAAAUCAAAUCAUGUUCAUGUUUAUUUUGUUGUUUCUAACAGGAAAUGUGAUGAUGUACCCUUGACAAAUCUAACCUGAUUGUAAGUUUAAUUUCAGACCAGCCCUUUAAGAAUGGGCUGUCUGUUUUAAAAACAAGACUUUUAAUACAAAUUGCAUUUUUUUUUAAAAAGAAACCAGGCUGUGUUUUCUCUUUUGUUGAGAUCUAUUUGUUUCAACGUGUUGCUACAAUGACUAAUUGCCAGUUUGCUGAUCCUAAACAAAGUUUUCAUGAGCAGUUUAGAGUUUUAAGAGUAUAAUUGCUUAAACAUCAGCUCAGUAUGAUUUUGAAUACACAGAAAUAAUGGGAUUACUACAAAUACUAGGGGUCGACCGAUACUGG
rnacentral:lncRNA from 1 species